rnacentral:rRNA from 1 species
UUAUCUCUGUAGAGUCUGCAUAUCAAUAAGCGGAGGAAAAGAAACUAAUUAGGAUUCCCUCAGUAACGGCGAGUGAAGCGGGAAGAGCUCAAAUUUGAAAUCUUCAAGGUUCUACCUUGACGAAUUGUAGUUUAAAGAAGUGUUUUCUGUUGGAGUUUUGGUAAAAGUUCUUUGGAAUAGGACAUCAUAGAGGGUGAGAAUCCCCGUAUUUGACCAUUAUUUCCAGCUUUGUGAUACACUUUCAAAGAGUCGGAUUGUUUGGGAAUGCAGUCCAAAAUGGGUGGUAAAUUUCAUCUAAAGCUAAAUACAUGGCGAGAGACCGAUAGCGAACAAGUACCGUGAGGGAAAGAUGAAAAGAACUUUGAAAAGAGAGUUAAACAGUACGUGAAAUUGUCAAAAGGGAAGCGUUUGACACCAGUGUUGUUUUCUCGAAAAUCAAUUAAAAAAGGCAGGAUUUUGUGUUGUAUUGACUUUAUCAGCUUUCUGCACUCUUUUCUUGUCUUUUUUAAUGCACUUUUCGUUUAACAAGUCAACAUCAAUUUCUUUUGUUGUAAAAGGGUCAUUGGAAGGUGGCUUUCUUUUCGGAGAAAGUGUUUAUAGCCUUUGGCCUCUGCAAUCGGAGAGAUUGAGGUCUGCAGCGUAGAUCCUUCGGGGUUAGAUACAUUUGUGCUAAGUUAUAGCCUUUCAUAGACAACUUGUUGACUAUGAUCAGUCAUGUAGCUUACUCGCUUAUGCUAUUUUACCUACGCUUAGGAUGUUGACGAUCAGCUGAGCGCG